GUGCCAGCAGCCGCGGUGAUACGGAGGAUGCAAGCGUUAUCCGGAAUGAUUGGGCGUAAAGCGUCCGCAGGUGGCUGUGUAAGUCUGCUGUCAAAGAGCAAAGCUCAACUUUGUAAAGGCAGUGGAAACUACACGGCUAGAGUGCGUUCGGGGCAGAGGGAAUUCCUGGUGUAGCGGUGAAAUGCGUAGAGAUCAGGAAGAACACCGGUGGCGAAGGCGCUCUGCUAGGCCGCAACUGACACUGAGGGACGAAAGCUAGGGGAGCGAAUGGGAUUAGAUACCCCAGUAGUCCUAGCUGUAAACGAUGGAUACUAGGCGUGGCUUGUAUCGACCCGAGCCGUGCCGUAGCUAACGCGUUAAGUAUCCCGCCUGGGGAGUACGCACGCAAGUGUGAAACUCAAAGGAAUUGACGGGGGCCCGCACAAGCGGUGGAGUAUGUGGUUUAAUUCGAUGCAACGCGAAGAACCUUACCAAGGCUUGACAUGUCGCGAACUCUUCUGAAAGGAAGAGGUGCCUUCGGGAGCGCGAACACAGGUGGUGCAUGGCUGUCGUCAGCUCGUGUCGUGAGAUGUUGGGUUAAGUCCCGCAACGAGCGCAACCCUCGUUUUUAGUUGCCAGCAUUAAGUUGGGCACUCUAGAGAGACUGCCGGUGACAAACCGGAGGAAGGUGGGGAUGACGUCAAGUCAGCAUGCCCCUUACGCCUUGGGCUACACACGUACUACAAUGCUACGGACAGAGGGCAGCAAGCUAGCGAUAGCAAGCUAAUCCCAUAAACCGUGGCUCAGUUCAGAUCGAAGGCUGCAACUCGCCUUCGUGAAGGAGGAAUCGCUAGUAAAUUGCACGUCAGCAUACUGCAGUGAAUUCGUUCCCGGGCCCUUGUACACACCGCCCGUCACACAUGGAAGCUGGCAACGCCCGAAGUCAUUACUCCAACCUUUCGAGGAGGAGAUGCCUACGCAGUGCUGGUGACUGGGGUGAAG
rnacentral:rRNA from 1 species